rnacentral:lncRNA from 1 species
UGGUAUUGAUGAAGGUUCAAGUUUGGGGUUGUUGGGAGAAUUGAAAGAAAGAUAAGCAUUGAGCUAAUGUGUUGAGUAAAGCAUGAAAAGCAUGAAAAAGAUAGAAAAGAUAUAAAAGAUAGCAUGUGCUUACACCCUGGCAAGUGUACCAGGUCGUAUCAAGUAAUAAUAGAACAGUAAGUGCAGAUAUCGUUUCCCAAGGGACUCUGUGGCCUAAACGUUGAUGUGAAUUAAUCGCAUAUGACUUGAAAGAAUAAUAAUUGGAGAUUUUAAUGCAAAGAAAGAUUUAAACAUGCAAAUGCAAAAGUUGAAUCAAUUGACAGAUAAGAAUAUGAAUGAAUGAAGUUGUUGGGGUUUACAAUUUCGUCCUGAUCCACC